rnacentral:tRNA from 1 species
GGCAGGGUAGCUCAGAGGCCAGAGCAGGGGACUCAUAAGCCCUUAGUCGGCGGUUCGAAUCCGCCCCCUGCUA